rnacentral:snRNA from 1 species
GCUUGGUUGAAAAGCCAGUGGCGC